AGGAUGACGGGAAGAGGAAGAUAAGGGCAAAGGAAACUGAUCGCCAACAAAUCGGGGAGCUCUCUCCCGUUGUGGGAGAAGUUUACCCCAAUAUCGAUGACAAAAGCAACCUUCUGAUUGCACAACGAUCAGAAGGCACUCGCAAAGUCCAGCUUCGCGAGCGUACUGGGUCGCAGAAGAUGGAGAAGUUUUAUAUGCACCAAAGCGUCCGAAAAACUAUGAGGUCGAUGAAUGAGGUGGCCACGUUCAUCUUAUACAACGCAAUUUACUAAAAAUUGGGUGUGAAUCGAAAUGUUGACCAUAUCACCUGAUUUUAAAUAAUAUGUUGUAUUCCGAUUUCUCAAAUUAGAGUGAAUAUGUAAUAAUGACUUCUC